rnacentral:rRNA from 1 species
CCUACGGGUGGCAGCAGUGGGGAAUAUUGCACAAUGGGGGAAACCCUGAUGCAGCGACGCCGCGUGAGUGAAGAAGUAAUUCGUUACGUAAAGCUCUAUCAGCAGGGAAGAAAAUGACGGUACCUGAGUAAGAAGCCCCGGCUAACGACGUGCCAGCAGCCGCGGUAAUACGUAGGGGGCAAGCGUUAUCCGGAUUUACUGGGUGUAAAGGGAGCGUAGACGGUGCGCCAAGUCGGGAGGGAAAUGCCGCCGCUUAACUGCGGAACUGCUUUGGAAACUGGCGAACUAGAGUGCGGGAGGGGUCAGCGUACUUCCUCGUGUAGCGGUUCCAUGCGUCGAUAUUAG